rnacentral:misc_RNA from 1 species
UCUCCGUUGGUGAACCAGCGGAGGGAUCAUUACCGAGUUUACAACUCCCAAACCCCUGUGAACAUACCUAUCGUUGCUUCGGCGGGACCGCCCCGUGGCCUUUGUGCCCGGAACCAGGCGCCCGCCGGGGACCCCAAACUCUUGUAUUUUUUGGAAUUAUCUGGGUGAAAAAACAAAUGAAUCAAAACUUUCAACAACGGAUCUCUUGGUUCUG